rnacentral:lncRNA from 12 species
CUGGGCUCUGUGGUUUUCCCCAGGCCGUUUUAUUGCCUCUUUCGGGCUCUGUUUGCUUCCCACUUCCCACUUACUGCCUACACACCUGGGGAACCUGACCUAUUCACAAGGAAGAUUAUUCUGUUCUGACCGCAGAGGAUACAACAGAUGCUCCGUCUGAUAGCUCUAGUGGUAAGUCUGUACGUGCGCCUUCCAGUCAUGAUGUCUUCCAUCCCAGCCUCGUGUCAAGGCAGCCGUGGGGGACACAGUACAGAGACUCCAAAGCAGGAGCCUGGGGAAGCACAUUCCUCUUUCUAAAGUUCAUUGUGAACAUAGAAAAUACGUUGAUUUCUUAUACAUUAUUAGAGAAUAUACAGUCUCAGGCAUGGAUUUGUAUGAAUUGUGGGUUACAUAAAUAUUCUUUAUGAAAAAUGACAAGGUCACAUGGUCUGAAUUUGUAGUCUAAGUAUUUGCGGAGUUGUAAGUACAGUCUUUCUGAUUCCCCUAAAUUGAAUGGCUGAAUACAUAGCCAGCAUGUGAAAAGAGGGGUUAAUAAGUCUCAGGUGAAGGAAGAGAAUGUAGAUGCCGGAGGUGAUAUAGAGACGUGGGCGUGUGGAAUAUUGACUGUGGAACGUAGGGGUGAAGUAGAAGGAGGGCCUUAUGGGUUGCUCUUUGUAACAGUAUAUAUGCCUUAUUCCCAGGCCGAUCUGUGUUGUCCUGUGGGGAUCUGAAACCCAGCAUUGUGGACCAAAGCUCUCGUAUUUCUUGGG